ACAGUAUAGACUUGAUCUAAAGUCCACUGAAGUCAAUGGGAGCCUUUCUAUUGACUUCAAUGGUCUUUAGAUCAGGCACUGU
rnacentral:pre_miRNA from 1 species